GGGUGAGUAAUGCUUGGGAAUCUAGCUUAUGGAGGGGGAUAACUACGGGAAACUGUCGCUAAUACCGCGUAGAAUCGAGAGAUGAAAGUGUGGGACCGCAAGGCCGCAUGCCAUGAGAUGAGCCCAAGUGGGAUUAGGUAGUUGGUGGGGUAAAGGCCUACCAAGCCGACGAUCUCUAGCUGGUCUGAGAGGAUGACCAGCCACACUGGGACUGAGACACGGCCCAGACUCC
rnacentral:rRNA from 1 species